GACGAACGCUGGCGGCGUGCCUAAUACAUGCAAGUCGAACGCACAGUUUAUACCGUAGCUUGCUGCACCAUAAACUGUGAGUUGCGAACGGGUGAGUAACGCGUAGGUAACCUGCCUGGUAGCGGGGGAUAACUAUUGGAAACGAUAGCUAAUACCGCAUAAUAUUGAUUAUUGCAUGAUAAUUGAUUGAAAGCUGCUAUUGCAUCACUACCAGCUGGACCUGCGUUGCAUUAGCUAGUAGGUGAGGUAACGGCUCACCAAGGCGACGAUACAUAGCCGACCUGAGAGGGUGAUCGGCCACACUGGGACUGAGACACGGCCCAGACUCCUACGGGAGGCAGCAGUAGGGAAUCUUCGGCAAUGGGCGAAAGUCUGACGGAGCAACGCCGCGUGAGUGAAGAAGGUUUUCGGUUCGUAAAGCUCUGUUGUAAGAGAAGAACGGGUGUGAGAGUGGAAAGUACGUACGGUGCGGGAAUCUUACAAGAAAGGAAGGGUUACUUCGUG
rnacentral:rRNA from 1 species